rnacentral:rRNA from 1 species
AUUGAACGCUGGCGGCAUGCCUUACACAUGCAAGUCGAACGGUAACAGGUCUUCGGAUGCUGACGAGUGGCGAACGGGUGAGUAAUACAUCGGAACGUGCCCGAUCGUGGGGGAUAACGGAGCGAAAGCUUUGCUAAUACCGCAUACGAUCUACGGAUGAAAGCAGGGGACCGCAAGGCCUUGGGCGGACGGAGCGGCCGAUGGCAGAUUAGGUAGUUGGUGGGAUAAAAGCUUACCAAGCCGACGAUCUGUAGCUGGUCUGAGAGGACGACCAGCCACACUGGGACGGAGACACGGCCCAGACUCCGACGGGAGGCAGCAGUGGGGAAUUUUGGACAAUGGGCGAAAGCCUGAUCCAGCCAUGCCGCGUGCAGGAUGAAGGCCUUCGGGUUGUAAACUGCUUUUGUACGGAACGAAAAGACUCUUUCUAAUAAAGAGGGUCCAUGACGGUACCGUAAGAAUAAGCACCGGCUAACUACGUGCCAGCCGCCGCAGUAACAC